GGCGGGGUGGCAGAGUGGUUAUGCAGCGGCCUGCAAAGCCGCGUACGCCGGUUCGAUUCCGACCUCCGCCUCCA
rnacentral:tRNA from 1 species